UACGUAGGCAGCGAGCGUUUGUUCGGAAUUACUGGGCGUAAAGAGUGUGUAGGCGGUGCUCUAAGUUCGGUGUGAAAUCUCCUGGCUCAACUGGGAGGGUGCGCCGGAAACUGGAGUGCUUGAGCGUGGGAGAGGAAAGCGGAAUUCCUGGUGUAGCGGUGAAAUGCGUAGAUAUCAGGAGGAACACCUGUGGCGAAAGCGGCUCACUGGACCAUAACUGACGCUGGAUGCACGAAAGCUAGGGGAGCAAACAGG
rnacentral:rRNA from 1 species